rnacentral:rRNA from 1 species
GCACGUAAGCAAGGGCGUCUGGGGGAUGCCUAAGGCUUCUGAUGGCGAUGAAGGACGUGGCAAGCGACGAAACGCUGAGGGGACCCGCUGGCAGGGGCUGAUCCUCAGGUGUCCGAAUGGGGCAACCCACUAGUUUGAAGAACUAGUACCCUACGGGGGGCAAACGCGGAGAACUGAAACAUCUAAGUACCCGCAGGAAGAGAAAACAAAUGUGAUUCCGUCAGUAGUGGCGAGCGAGAGCGGAAGAGCCCAAACCAGUCUGGUUACGGCCAGAUUGGGGUAGUAGGACCUGACAAAAGCAGCAGCAUGAACUGAAAUGACUUGGGAAAGUCAGCCAUAGAGGGUGAGAGCCCCGUACGGGUCAGUGGUGUUGUGGGUUGGGGAUCCUGAGUAGGGGGGGACCGGAGAAAUCCCCUUUGAAUCAACCGGCACCAUCCGGUAAGGCUAAAUACAUUCAGAAGACCGAUAGUGCAGAGUACCGUGAGGGAAAGGUGAAAAGUACGGGGAGUACCCGGGUGAAAUAGAUCCUGAAACCAGGCGCUUACAAGCGGUCGGAGCCUCCAGUGUGGGGUGACGGCGUGCCUUUUGCAUAAUGAGCCUACGAGUAACCGUCACUGGCGAGGUUAAGAUCGUUGACGAUCGCAGCCGAAGCGAAAGCGAGUCUGAACAGGGCGAGCAGUCAGUGGGGGUUGACGCGAAACUGGGUGAUCUACCCCUGGCCAGGUUGAAGGGAGGGUAAAACUUUCUGGAGGACCGAACCGAUAAGCGUUGAAAAGCUUCCGGAUGAGCUGGGGGUAGGGGUGAAAGGCCAAUCAAACUCAGAAAUAGCUCGUACUCUCCGAAAUGUUUUUAGGAACAGCGUUCAGUGUUACUGUUUGUGAGGUAGAGCCACCAACAGGAUGCGGGGGAGUCACAUCCUACCAACUUCUGAUGAACUCCGAAUGCGCAAACAGGUGCUGGGCAGUGAGGGGCAGGGUGCUAAGGUCCUGCUCCGAGAGGGGAACAACCCAGACCAUCCUCUAAGGUCCCCAAGUGUGUGCUAAGUUGAACAAAGGCGGUCCGGCUGCUGAGACAGCCAGGAGGUUAGCUUGGAAGCAGCUAUUCCUUUAAAGAGUGCGUAACAGCUCACUGGUCGAGCGGGGCGGGCGUCGAUAAUAACCGGGCAUCAAGCACAUCACCGAAGAGAUGGAUUGCACACAUGUUGUGCGAUGGUAGGAGAGCAUUCUAUAGGGGGUGAAGCUGUCGCGUGAGCGGUGGUGGACCGUAUAGAAAAGCAAAUGUAGGCAUAAGUAACGAUAAUGGAGAUGAGAACUCUCCACACCGAAAGGCUAAGGUUUCCUCCGCGAUGGCAGUCAUCGGAGGGUUAGUCGGGGUCUAAGGGGCAGGCGAAUGCCGGGCCCUGAGGGGGAACAGGUUAAUAGUCCUGUACUAUCUAUGCAGGGGAGUUGAUGACGGAGUGCCGGGGUGUGUAGGUCCUGACGGAAUAGGGCGUUGAGCAGAGGUUUCGGCCGAAGCGAACACAUGAAGGGGCUUCCAAGAAAAGUCAGCUGUCGUUAAGCGCAUAGAUACCCGUACCGCAAACCGACACAGGUAGCCGGGAAGAAUAUUCUAAGGUGCGCGAAUGAAUCAUGGUUAAGGAACUCGGCAAGAUGACCCUGUAACUUCGGGAUAAGGGGGGCCUACCCAGCGAUGGGAGGCUGCAGAGAAGAGGCCCAGGCGACUGUUUACCAAAAACACAGGACUCUGCCAAAAUGAAAGUUGACGCAUAGGGUCUGACACCUGCCCGGUGCUGGAAGGUUAAGAGGGGAUGUUAGUCGCAAGGCGAAGCAUUGAAUUGAAGCCCCAGUAAACGGCGGCCGUAACUAUAACGGUCCUAAGGUAGCGAAAUUCCUUGUCGGGUAAGUUCCGACCUGCACGAAUGGUGUAACGAUCUGGGCACUGUCUCAACCAUGAGUUCGGUGAAAUUGUAGUAGCGGUGAAGAUGCCGCUUACCCGCCACGGGACGGAAAGACCCCGUGCACCUUUACUACAGCUUAACAGUGAAUGCCGGUCAGGCAUGUGUAGGAUAGGCGGGAGGAGUUGAAGGGGCGUCGCCAGGCGUCGUGGAUCCAACCUUGAAAUACCGCCCUUGGCUGACUGGCGUUCUAACUCCGGGAAGGAGGACCCUGUUUGGUGGGUAGUUUGACUGGGGUGGUCACCUCCGAAAGGGUAACGGAGGUUUCCCAAGGUUGGCUCAUGCCGGACGGUAAUCGGCAGGGGAGUGCAAUAGCAGAAGCCAGCUUGACAGUGAGGCCAACAAGCCGAUCUGGGACGAAAGUCGGGUAUAGUGAUCCGGUGGUUCCGCAUGGAAGGGCCAUCGCUCAAAGGAUAAAAGGUACGCCGGGGAUAACAGGCUGAUCUCCCCCAAGAGCUCACAUCGACGGGGAGGUUUGGCACCUCGAUGUCGGCUCGUCACAUCCUGGGGCUGGAGAAGGUUCCAAGGGUUCGGCUGUUCGCCGAUUAAAGUGGCACGCGAGCUGGGUUCAGAACGUCGUGAGACAGUUCGGUCCCUAUCUGUGGUGGGCGUUGGAAUACUGCCGGGAUCUGUCCUUAGUACGAGAGGACCGGGAUGGACGUACCGCUGGCGAGUCGGUUGUUUGGCCGCAGGCACGGCCGAGUAGCUACGUACGGAUCAGAUAAGCGCUGAAAGCAUCUAAGUGCGAAACUGGCCUGAAGAUGAGUGUUCCUUAGUAGGGGUGUUGUAGACGACGACGUUGAUAGGCGGCAGGUGUAGGCGUAGAGAUGCGUUAAGCUGAGCCGUACUAAUGGCCCCAACAGCGUGUGCAU